rnacentral:rRNA from 1 species
GUUAGGAAUAUUGGACAAUGGGCGCAAGCCUGAUCCAGCCAUGCCGCGUGAGUGAUGAAGGCCUUCGGGUUGUAAAGCUCUUUAGCCGAUGAUUAUAAUGACUGUAGUCGGAAAAUAAGCCCCGGCUAACUUCGUGCCAGCAGCCGCGGUAAUACGAAGGGGGCGAGCGUUAUUCGGAAUCACUGGGCGUAAAGCGUGCGUAGGCGGUUUUGUAAGUUAGGAGUGAAAGCCCAGGGCUCAACCUUGGAAUUGCUCUUAAAACUGCAAGGCUCGAAUCUCGGAGAAGAUAGCGGAAUUUCCAGUGUAGCAGUGAAAUGCGUAGAUAUUGGAAGGAACACCAGUGGCGUAAGCGGCUAUCUGGACGAGUAUUGACGCUGAGGCACGAAAGCGUGGGGAUCAAACAGGAUUAGAUACCCCGGUAGUCC